UACGUAGGGGGCAAGCGUUGUCCGGAAUCAUUGGGCGUAAAGCGCGUGUAGGCGGCUCGAUAAGUCUGCUGUAAAAGUCCAGGGCUCAACCCUGGAAAGCCGGUGGAAACUGUCGAGCUAGAGUCCGGAAGAGGCGAGUGGAAUUCCUGGUGUAGCGGUGAAAUGCGCAGAUAUCAGGAGGAACACCGGUGGCGAAGGCGGGUCUCUGGGCCGAUAUUGACGCUGAGGAGCGAAAGCGUGGGGAGCAAACAGG
rnacentral:rRNA from 1 species